rnacentral:rRNA from 1 species
UACGAAAGGGGGGCUAGCGUUGCUCGGAAUUACUGGGCGUAAAGCGCACGUAGGCGGCUUUCUAAGUCGGGGGGUGAAAUCCUGGAGCUCAACUCCAGAACUGCCUUCGAUACUGGAGAGCUCGAGUCCGGGGAGAGGUGAGUGGAACUGCGAGUGUAGAGGUGAAAAUUCGUAGAUAUUCGCAAGAACACCAGUGGCGAAGGCGGCUCACUGGCCCGGUACUGA